rnacentral:rRNA from 1 species
CCCUGUACCUGUGUAUACUGCGAAGGAGGGACGGAGGAGCGUAAGGUUUGCCCCCUGACGGAAUAGGGGGUUGAAGUGCGUAGGCUAUGAUCAUGACAGGCAAAUCCGUUAUGAGAGCUGAGACACGAUAGUACGCCUGGGACUUCGGUUCAGGGCGAUAAUGACCCCAAGCAGACUUCCUAGAAAAUUUUCUAAGCAUCAGGUAUAUACAGCCCGUACCAUAAACCGACACAGGUGGUCGAGGAGAGAAUCCUAAGGCGCUCGAGUGAAUCAUGGCUAAGGAACUAGGCAAAAUGGCCUCGUAACUUCGGGAGAAGGGGCGCUUCAUUUAAUAAUUGAAGCCGCAGUUAAAAGGCCCUGGCGACUGUUUAGCAAAAACACAGGACUCUGCUAAAUCGAAAGAUGAUGUAUAGGGUCUGACACCUGCCCGGUGCCGGAAGGUUAAGGAAGGGGGUUAGUGCGCAAGUGCGAAGCUCUUAACUGAAGCCCCGGUAAACGGCGGCCGUAACAAUAACGGUCCUAAGGUAGCGAAAUUCCUUGUCGGGUAAGUUCCGACCUGCACGAAUGGUGUAAUGAUCUGGGCGCUGUCUCAGCCAUGAGCUCGGUGAAAUUGAAGUAUCGGUGAAGAUGCCGGUUACCCGCAACGGGACGAAAAGACCCCGUGAACCUUUACUAUAGCUUCACAUUGUAUCUGAGUAUAGGAUGUGUAGGAUAGGUGGGAGACUAUGAAGUGGUGCCGCCAGGUGUCAUGGAGUCAUCCUUGAAAUACCACCCUUCCUAUACUUAGGUUCUAAUCCCGACAAAGUCGGGAGACAUUGUGUGGUGGGUAGUUUGACUGGGGUGGUCGCCUCCAAAAGAGUAACGGAGGCUUGCAAAGGUACCCUCAGCAUGGACGGUAAUCAUGCGAAGAGCAUAUAAGUAUAAGGGUGCUUGACUGUGAGAUUGACGGAUCGAUCAGGGACGAAAGUCGGCUUAAGUGAUCCGGUGGUUCCGCAUGGAAGGGCCAUCGCUCAAAGGAUAAAAGGUACUCCGGGGAUAACAGGCUGAUUUCCCCCAAGAGCUCAUAUCGACGGGGAAGUUUGGCACCUCGAUGUCGGCUCGUCACAUCCUGGGGCUGGAGAAGGUCCCAAGGGUUGGGCUGUUCGCCCAUUAAAGUGGCACGCGAGCUGGGUUCAGAACGUCGUAAGACAGUUCGGUCUCUAUCUGUUGUGGGCGUAGGAAUAUUGAGGAGAUCUGACACUAGUACGAGAGGACCGUGUUGGACGUACCGCUGGUGUACCAGUUGUGCCGCCAGGUGCAUUGCUGGGUAGCUAAGUACGGAAUGGAUAAGCGCUGAAAGCAUCUAAGCGCGAAGCCAACUUCAAGAUGAGUAUUCCAUAUCAGGGCCGUGGGAGAUUACCACGUUGAUAGGCUACAGAUGGAAGCGCAGUGAUGUGUGGAGUCGAGUAGUACUAAUAGCCUGAAAGCUUCUUUC